CAUGUCUCAAGAAAGCCGUUAACUCCACAUCCCUGCAUGGGCGUCUGAGGUGCAACAGGGGCAGAAAGGCAGGUGCCUGCCCGCCCAGAGCUUGCAGUCCAGGGGAGCACAUGGACAGUGAGACGUGAUUGAACCAACUACGUUGUCAAUGACUGUGGGGGAGGGGCAUUUCCCCCCAUCUGCAGAUGAAAAGCAGCCAGGCUUUGAAGGAGCCAAGCCACUUGGAGGAGGAGUCAAGCCACUUAGCCUCAGAGGGGUUAAGCCCCAAGUCCACACAGCCCAGCAGGAGCCUCCCUGGGAUGUGAACCCCGGUCUGUCUGACUCCAGCACCCAAGUUCAUCCUGACGCUCCCAUACAAAAACAGAACAAAGACUAGAACCCCGAAACCUUGUCUCCUGGCCGGGACAGUCCCCACAGUCUUCUCCCCCUUGCGUCUCAGGAGAGCAUCCCUUUACUGUCAGCUCUGGGCAGGGAGGCAGGGAGGCAGGGAGGCUGGGGUGAAGGCAGA